AUUUUAUUCAAUUCAUCCCUUCUCUUCUUUUUAAUUGUUCCUCAAUACCAUGUUGGUCUUUGAUUAUUAUCAAUCUCUAUCAGACACACAAUAAAGAAACGAAGCCCCCCUAUGCUGUGUUCAUGUUUCCAUUGUUCAAUGUUCACACCUCCAUUUACACAUCCUUAUCCUCUUCUAUAAAUUCCUUGCUUCAACUCCUCCCUCUUACACCUUCAACACUCUCUCUUCACUUUUCAUCUAUAUUGUCAAUUCUACCUUUACCUUCUCUCUAACAAACAUGAGAAAGGUCACAGCCCUGUUCUUCAUUAUCACUCUGUUCCUCUGCUUCAGCAUGCUCACCCAUGCUGCACGCCCUCAACCAUCCUUUCAACAUGUUCAAUCCUUCCCAAAAACACACCAUCUGGGUGGUGAUGAGGGCGCUGACGAUGUUAGCUGUGAAGGCAUAGGAGAAGAUGAAUGCUUGACAAGGAGAACACUUGCAGCUCACACUGAUUAUAUCUAUACACAGAAGAAUAACCCUUGAAGCAAAAUAUAACAACACUCUUUGUUUUAGUAGUUUAAAGAAUUAAGCAUGAUUACUUGUUUGGAAU